ACAUGGCUCCCUAGGAUACAUCACUAACCCACUGGUGCAUUCUGUCACUGCACCAGGUACUGCUGGGCCACUCUGGCAAUUUUUUUAAACCAGACAAACAAAGUGGAAAAUGAUGCAUUUGACAUUUUUCAUGAAAGAUGAAGAGGAUGGACUAAGUCCACUCCUCCAGAGCUGGAAUCAUGCCACCUCCACUGGAGCUGCUGUUUUUAAUAUGAAAAUUAAUUGAGUGGCACAGAGAGGCCGGCAUUGAGCCUGAGGCUGGACUGCCUCUACCGUCUGUUCCUGCUUCCUCGUACAGGCACAGGCCCACCAAACUGCUGAUGCCAAAAACUCACAAAACCGCCCAGUGGAUGUCCAUGUCUCAGUUAACAAAAUGCUGAUCUUUGCCUCAAAUUAUUUUGUAUAUGAAAGAACUAACCAAUGUGUACAGCAUGAGCAGGUCAAUAUAUAAUCUUGUUAAACAAGAUAAUAUGACAUAGCAUAUACACUACACUAAAAGCUUAUUCAUGUUUUUUUUUUUUUUUAUGUUUUGUAGACCUUCCCAUGAUUCUAAAUACAAAGUAAAUUGAUAAAAAUCCCCUCAUGCUUUGCUUAACUUUGUAAUAGCACCUGAGGUUUAACAGGCUAUCCCUUCUAAAAGGACCCAGAAAAAAGCUACAUUAGAGAAUUCUUCACUGGGUAACAAGAACACUCCAUAGUAAAAGUCAAGGUCAAGGUCAAUGCUUUGUGGUACAAAAGCAACAAAUGAACAUGCUCUCAAUCAGCAGUUGCAGAACUGUAACGGUUAAACAAUUAGACAGAUUCUAAUUAUCAGCAUAACUUUGCUGAUAUAGUGCUACAAAACUUCCUCCUUAUUCCCUGGUUUCGAGGGUUACUCUUCUGUUUCAGUUUAGCAGGACAGGUCAAUAUCCUAUGCCACCACUUAAAGGAUCAUAGAGAAAAUAAGUUAGGUAUUCCCUAAUGAUGCAAUAAGGCAAAAAAAAGUGCAUAAGAAUGCAACCAUACCUGCAUGAUACAAUGCACAAGAACAAAAACUGACAUUUACACUAGCAGACAAUUGUGAAUCGUGCAUCUUGAUAGCUAUCCAUUUUGCUCCAUUUUCUGUGAAUAAAUAAGAUAGCAUAAUUCACAAUUUUACAAGUCAAAAGAUACCCCAUAAGCCUAAUGACCUUUCCCAGUCACCUAUAUAUCUGCCUAUGUAUUUAGGUCCAACACUAAGUUUAAUCUUAUCCUGCAAAAACCUUAACUUCAUUCAUAUUGUUUGGGGUCAUGCUUUCACCAGUGGUCUCACUGUCAAAGACAAUUCUAGUUAUGGCAGGCAAAAAUUGAAUUUUAAAAAAAGUCAUAAAAUCCAUCAAUAUUUCCAUACAUCAUCCAAGAAAUAAAUUAUCAAUAGGCUUUUAAACAUUUUUUUUUCUUGAAACACCAUUAUUUCAUAUUUAUAGAUUUACUUAAAUAAGGUUUACUUUGCUAAUUUAUAGAUUGACUUCAAAUGAGGGGUGGGUUUAUUUAUGCUGAGUUGUUCCAAUUGGACAGUAGGCCUGCAGGCUGACAGCUGUGCUUGGAAAACCUGAGACUGACAAGAAUGUAGAUAUCCUUCAAUAAAACCCAAACAUGUUUGCAAAAAUGUUAAUAUAAAACACAUCUAAAUAAAUUCUUAAAAGUUCUGAAUUUGUUAAAUUACUUAUUGACCAUUCAAUGAAAAAGAUAUACUUCCUAAUUUGUCACUCACCUCCCACAGGCGAAAUCUACGAUUUCAUAGUAAAAGCUCAAAGUUCAGGUUUUAUACCCGGCUAAACAAAACCAACCUCCGGCAUAAAUAUUAAUUCACAAUUCAUUUGCAGAGAGAUGAGAUACACUAUCUGAGAUUUGAUUCAUGUUGGUAUUUUGUUAAAAAAGGCAAGUUAUUUCACAGUGAAGCAGUAAAGAAAAGCCACUGGCAACUUGUGAUGGUUUAGUAUCAGUGUCAAGUACAGCCCAUCAUUAUGUACAUUCAUACAUACGUCACUUCCCCAUUGGCUCACACUUGAAAUUCUAUUUCAGAAAAAAAAAAAA